AUUGAACGCUGGCGGCAGGCCUAACACAUGCAAGUCGAACGAGUGGCGGACGGGUGAGUAAUGUCUGGGAAACUGCCUGAUGGAGGGGGAUAACUACUAGAAACGGUAGCUAAUACCGCAUACCAUCGGAUGUGCCCAGAUGGGAUUAGCUAGUAGGUGGGGUAAAGGCUCACCUAGGCGACGAUCCCUAGCUGGUCUGAGCGGAUGACCAGCCACACUGGAACUGAGACACGGCCCAGACUCCUACGGGAGGCAGCAGUGGGGAAUAUUGCACAAUGGGCGAAACCCUGAUCCAGCCAGGCCGCGUGUAUGAAGAAGGCCUUCGGGUUGUAAAGUACUUUCAGCGGGGAGGCGUUACCCGCAGAAGAAGCACCGGCUAACUCCGUGCCAGCAGCCGCGGUAAUAC
rnacentral:rRNA from 1 species